GGAUAGCUCAGUUGUUAGAGCAUGGUGCUGAUAAUGCCAAGGUUAUAGGUUUGAUCCCCAUAUGGAACA